rnacentral:rRNA from 1 species
UACAGAGGGUGCAAGCGUUAAUCGGAAUUACUGGGCGUAAAGCGUGCGUAGUCGGUUAUUUCAGUCGGGCGUGAAAGCCCCGGGCUCAACCUGGGAAUUGCAUUUGAGACUGAAUAGCUAGGGUGCGGAAGAGGGAAGCGGAAUUUCCGGUGUAGCGGUGAAAUGCGUAGAUAUCGGAAGGAACACCAGUGGCGAAAGCGGCUUCCUGGUCCAGCACCGACGUUCAGGCACGAAAGCGUGGGGAGCAAACAGG